GCAAGACCUGGCGCUUGAAGAGGGGCCCGCGCCUGAUUAGCUAGUUGGUGAGGUAACGGCUCACCAAGGCAACGAUCAGUAUCCGGCCUGAGAGGGCGGACGGACACACUGGGACUGAGACACGGCCCAGACUCCUACGGGAGGCAGCAGUGGGGAAUUGUUCGCAAUGGGCGCAAGCCUGACGACGCAACGCCGCGUGGAGGAUGAAGAUCUUCGGGUCGUAAACUCCUGUCGAAUGGGAAGAACGUUUCGCGGAUGAAUAAGCCGCGGAAGUGACGGUACCGUUAAAGGAAGCCCCGGCUAACUCCGUGCCAGCAGCCGCGGUAAUACGGGGGGGGCAAGCGUUGUUCGGAAUUACUGGGCGUAAAGGGCUCGUAGGUGGCCAACUAAGUCAGACGUGAAAUCCCCAGGCUUAACCUGGGAACUGCGUCUGAUACUGGAUGGCUUGAAUUCGGGAGAGGGAUGCAGAAUUCCAGGUGUAGCGGUGAAAUGCGUAGAUAUCUGGAGGAAUACCGGUGGCGAAGGCGGCAUCCUGGACCGAGAUUGACACUGAGGAGCGAAAGCUAGGGGAGCAAACGGGAUUAGAUACCCCGGUAGUCCUAGCCCUAAACGAUGAAUGCUUGGUGUGAUGGGUAUCGAUCCCUGUCGUGCCGAAGCUAACGCAUUAAGCAUUCCGC
rnacentral:rRNA from 1 species